rnacentral:rRNA from 1 species
AACGAACGCUGGCGGCAUGCCUAACACAUGCAAGUCGAACGAGACCUUCGGGUCUAGUGGCGCACGGGUGCGUAACACGUGGGAAUUUGCCUCGGGGUAUGGAAUAACUCAGGGAAACUUGAGCUAAUACCAUAUAAUGUCUUCGGACCAAAGAUUUAUCGCCCUGAGAUAAGCCCGCGUAGGAUUAGCUAGUUGGUGGGGUAAAGGCUCGACCAAGGCGACGAUCCUUAGCUGGUCUGAGAGGAUGAUCAGCCACACUGGGACUGAGACACGGCCCAGACUCCUACGGGAGGCAGCAGUGGGAAUAUUGGACAAUGGGCGAAAGCCUGAUCCAGCAAUGCCGCGUGAGUGAUGAAG